UACAGAGGGGGCAAGCGUUGUUCGGAAUUACUGGGCGUAAAGGGCGCGUAGGCGGCCUUCUAAGUCGAACGUGAAAUCCCUGGGCUCAACCCAGGAACUGCGUCCGAUACUGGGAGGCUUGAAUCCGGGAGAGGGAUGUGGAAUUCCAGGUGUAGCGGUGAAAUGUGUAGAGAUCCCGAGGAAUACCAGUGGUGCAGACGGCGCCCUGGGACAUUACUGACGCUGAGAUGCGAAAGCGUGGGGAGCGAACGGG
rnacentral:rRNA from 1 species